GGCUCAGUGGUCUAUGGGUAUGAUUCUCGCUUUGGGUGCGAGAGGUCCCGGGUUCAAAUCCCGGCUGAGCCC
rfam:Hymenolepis nana genome assembly, scaffold: HNAJ_contig0011775